rnacentral:rRNA from 1 species
CUACGGGACGCUCCAGUCGAGAAUAGUCUACAAUGGGGGAAACCCUGAUAGUGCGACGCCGCGUGAACGAAGAAGCUUUUCGGAGUGUAAAGUUCUUUUCUGUAUGAGCAAUGCUUUAUUGUUUAAGAGAUAAUAGAGAGAGAUAUUAGUACAGGAAUAAGCCACGGCUAACUCCGUGCCAGCAGCCGCGGUAAUACGGGGGUGGCAAGCGUUGUCCGGAUUUACUAGGCGUAAAGGGCAGGUAGGCGGAGAUUCAAGUCAGGCGUUAAAGGCAUCAGCUCAACUGGUGUACGGCGUUUGAAACUGGAUAUCUAGAGUCAGGUAGAGGUAGAUGGAAUUCCUAGUGUAGCGGUGGAAUGCGCAGAGAUUAGGAAGAACACCAAAGGCGAAGGCAAUCUACUGGGCCAUGACUGACGCUAAACUGCGAAGGUGUGGGUAUCAAACAGGAUUAGAUACCCGCGUAGUC